rnacentral:rRNA from 1 species
AACGCUGGCGGCAUGCCUUACACAUGCAAGUCGAACGGCAGCACGGACUUCGGUCUGGUGGCGAGUGGCGAACGGGUGAGUAAUAUAUCGGAACAUACCCAGUAGUGGGGGAUAACUAUCCGAAAGGAUAGCUAAUACUGCAUACGAUCUGUGGAUGAAAGCAGGGGAUCUUCGGACCUUGUGCUAUUGGAAUGGCCGAUAUCUGAUUAGCUAGUUGGUAGGGUAAAAGCCUACCAAGGCGACGAUCAGUAGCUGGUCUGAGAGGACGACCAGCCACACUGGAACUGAGACACGGUCCAGACUCCUACGGGAGGCAGCAGUGGGGAAUUUUGGACAAUGGGGGCAACCCUGAUCCAGCAAUGCCGCGUGAGUGAAGAAGGCCCUCGGGUUGUAAAGCUCUUUAGUCAGGGAAGAAACGGAGUUCUCUAAUAUAGGAUUCUAAUGACGGUACCUGAAGAAUAAGCACCGGCUAACUACGUGCCAGCAGCCGCGGUAAUACGUAGGGUGCAAGCGUUAAUCGGAAUUACUGGGCGUAAAGCGUGCGCAGGCGGUUUUGUAAGUCUGAUGUGAAAUCCCCGGGCUCAACCUGGGAACUGCAUUGGAGACUGCAAGGCUAGAGUGUGUCAGAGGGGGGUAGAAUUCCACGUGUAGCAGUGAAAUGCGUAGAGAUGUGGAGGAAUACCGAUGGCGAAGGCAGCCCCCUGGGAUAACACUGACGCUCAUGCACGAAGCGUGGGGAGCAAACAGG